rnacentral:sRNA from 1 species
GAGAAGCAUAGCAAUUAUCUUGCAUCCGGCUCCCGCUGCCUGUCGCAGGUUGUAUAUCCAUGUAUGUGGAAGGACGGUCGGCCACCGUUUGAUGUCUGGAAUGGAUGGGAAAGCAUGCAUGAGUGGGCUGUUUGGUGCGGCCUGAGAAAAAUCUUCGAUUGUAGAGUGCGGAAUCUUAGGUCUUGAAUUGUAUACAAGAAAAAAAAAACAGGAGCGAGUUGGUUCCGAAGGCAAAAGGGAGCUUUUACAUUAUGGUGCAUGUCCUGGCUUGAGUCCAUGAUUCUGGCUUAGAAAGCACAGAGCAAGGACGAAGAUUCCGCUCCCAUGAAAGAACUAAGAAUGAAGGAUGCUGCCUAUUCCCGAAUAUGUGACAGGGGAAAAUGUAAGAGGACGCGAGGCAAAAGCUUUGGUAUUUAAAAGUGUCACACCUACCACCGAACCCGUCUAUAUU